rnacentral:rRNA from 1 species
CCCCAGCACCACGAGUGGGGAUCGCAUUUAUUUGGCCUAAAGCGCUCGUAGCCGGUCAUGUAAAUCUUUUGUGAAAUCGUUGCGCUUAACGUAACGGCGCGCAGGAGAAACUGCAAGACUAGGGACUGGGAGGCGUCAAGGGUAUUCCUGGGGGAGCAGUAAAAUGCUAUAAUCCUAGGAGGACCACCUGUGGCGAAGGCGCUUGACGAGAACAGGUUCGACGGUGAGGGGCGAAAGCUAGGGGAGCGAUCCG